GAUGAAGAACGUAGCGAAAUGCGAUAAGUAAUGUGAAUUGCAGAAUUCAGUGAAUCAUCGAAUCUUUGAACGCACAUUGCGCCCGCCAGUAUUCUGGCGGGCAUGCCUGUUCGAGCGUCAUUACAACCCUCAGGCCCCCGGGCCUGGCGUUGGGGAUCGGCGGAGCCCCCCGUGGGCACACGCCGUCCCCCAAAUGCAGUGGCGGUCCCGCCGCAGCUUCCAUCGCGUAGUAGCUAACACCUCGCGACUGGAGAGCGGCGCGGCCACGCCAUAAAACACCCAACUCUUCUGAAGUUGACCUCGAAUCAGGUAGGAAUACCCGCUGAACUUAAGCAUAUCAAUAAGCGGAGGA
rnacentral:misc_RNA from 1 species